rnacentral:rRNA from 1 species
UACGUAGGGUGCGAGCGUUGUCCGGAAUUACUGGGCGUAAAGAGCUCGUAGGUGGUUUGUCGCGUUGUUCGUGAAAUUCCCUGGCUUAACUGGGGGCGUGCGGGCGAUACGGGCAGACUGGAGUACUGCAGGGGAGACUGGAAUUCCUGGUGUAGCGGUGGAAUGCGCAGAUAUCAGGAAGAACACCCGUGGCGAAGGCGGCUCUCUGGGACGGUACUGACGCUGAGACGCGAAAGCGUGGGGAGCGAACAGG